GUGCAUUUGUGAAUGCCAAAUGAGAUGAUGCAAAUAACAUGUUCAACAGAGUUCUUGGCGCGAAGCUUCUAUUGAGCUCUCCUGUCUGUAUGCCAUGACAAGACAGAGCGAGAAAGCAUUGAUAAAUUGAUGAAACCAUUGUGUGUCUUCUCAUUCGCUUGACUGUGUUACUCCGUGGGACCCCACUGUGGGUUCUGUGUCUGUACAUCAUGCACCACGAGCAGCAGAGGCAGGGCCAGCUGGAGGAGGUAGCUUGCUGAAGGCAGUCUUGCUGUGAGAACAGGAGGAGCAGCUGUUGAAAGAAGAAGAGAGAGAUUGAAACUGGAAGUUUUGGUGAUAAAAUUGGAUUGAGAGAGAGGCCAGUGAUGGAUUAAGCAUCUUAGUUUGAACACAAAUUCUGCAACGGAGAAAAGUGGACUGGCUUUCAUUAAAGUUGGGUGUGUGUGAAGGUGACAGAGCUCCAGAGUUCUGCUGUCUGUCCCUCUUUGACCUCAUGGAACAUACAUUUUCAGAUUAUUGCCCUAGUGGUUACAAUGGACAAGAGUGUAUUAUUUCUGAUCGUAAUGGAAAUGCAUCUACUGUUUUCCUACUGAACAUGCCAUGGCUUUGGAACUGAAAUACAUAUUCUAUAGUGUUUAGGCAGUCUUCACCAAUUGUUACUUUAGAGGAAUUUUGUUUGAAAUUGUAUACUUAGAAACUCAUGGGAAUUACUGAAUAAGAGAGCAGUUAGGGUUCCAAAAUUAAUAAACAGACUCAUGGAGCAAGAUGGCGGAGGAGAAGGAGACGUAAAUUUCGUCUGGUCCCAGGAAUUCAGCUAGAUAGUACCAUUCAGAACACCUACAAACUCAACAGGAGAUCAAA